CCCGCUGAACUUAAGCAUAUCAAUAAGCGGAGGAAAAGAAACCAACAGGGAUUGCCCUAGUAACGGCGAGUGAAGCGGCAAUAGCUCAAAUUUGAAAUCUGGCCCUCGUGGUCCGAGUUGUAAUUUGUAGAGGAUGCUUUUGGUGCGGUGCCUUCCGAGUUCCCUGGAACGGGACGCCAAAGAGGGUGAGAGCCCCGUACGGUUGGACACCUACCCUAUAUAUAGCUCCUUCGACGAGUCGAGUAGUUUGGGAAUGCUGCUCUAAAUGGGAGGUAAAUUUCUUCUAAAGCUAAAUACCGGCCAGAGACCGAUAGCGCACAAGUAGAGUGAUCGAAAGAUGAAAAGCACUUUGAAAAGAGGGUUAAAUAGCACGUGAAAUUGUUGAAAGGGAAGCGUUUGCGACCAGACCUUUUCCAGGGGGAUCAUCCGGUGUUCUCACCGGUGCACUUCCCUUGGUUUAGGCCAGCAUCGGUUUUCUUAGGGGGAUAAAGGCUUAGGGAACGUAGCUCUUUCGGGAGUGUUAUAGCCCUUUGCGUAAUACCCCUCGGGGGACCGAGGACCGCGCUCUGCAAGGAUGCUGGCGUAAUGGUCGUCAACGACCCGUCUUGAAACACGG
rnacentral:rRNA from 1 species